AGAGUUGAUCAUGGCUCAGGAUGAACGCUGGCGGCGUGCUUAACACAUGCAAGUCGAACGGAGUUUUAACGGAAGUUUCGGAUGGAAGUUUAGAAACUUAGUGGCGGACGGGUGAGUAACGCGUGGGUAACCUGCCUCAUACAGGGGGAUAACAGUUAGAAAUGACUGCUAACACCGCAUAAUAUAGCGAAACCGCAUGAUUUUGCUAUCAAAAUAUUUAUAGGUAUGAGAUGGGCCCGCGUCUGAUUAGCUAGUUGGUGGGGUAAAAGCCUACCAAGGCGACGAUCAGUAGCCGGCUUGAGAGAGUGACCGGCCACAUUGGGACUGAGACACGGCCCAAACUCCUACGGGAGGCAGCAGUGGGGAAUAUUGGACAAUGGGGGAAACCCUGAUCCAGCCGACGCCGCGUGAGUGAAGAAGUAUUUCGGUAUGUAAAGCUCUAUCAGCAGGGAAGAUAAUGACAGUACCUGACUAAGAAGCCCCGGCUAACUACGUGCCAGCCGCGGC
rnacentral:rRNA from 1 species